rnacentral:rRNA from 1 species
UGGCAACACGAGCGGCAGACGGGUGAGUAACGCGUGGGAAUCUACCGUACCCUACGGAACAACUCCGGGAAACUGGAGCUAAUACCGUAUACGCCCCCCUUUAAAAUACCAGGAAACAUAAAAUGCCCUGGCAUUUUAUGGGGGGGAAAGAUUUAUCGGGGUAUGAUGAGCCCGCGUUGGAUUAGCUAGUUGGUGGGGUAAAGGCCUACCAAGGCGACGAUCCAUAGCUGGUCUGAGAGGAUGAUCAGCCACAUUGGGACUGAGACACGGCCCAAACUCCUACGGGAGGCAGCAGUGGGGAAUAUUGGACAAUGGGCGCAAGCCUGAUCCAGCCAUGCCGCGUGAGUGAUGAAGGCCCUAGGGUUGUAAAGCUCUUUCACCGAUGAAGAUAAUGACGGUAGUCGGAGAAGAAGCCACGGCUAACUACGUGCCAGCAGCCGCCGUAACAC